AAUCCACCCUUCCUGAAACAUAGGAUAAUCUGGGUAGUUUGUCUCCUUGUGGCUGAACUUUUGUUCUCUGGCACAUGCAUACCCUCUCCUAUAUGGAUUCCCAUAUCUGGCGUGGACCUUUUUGGUAGGCUAUGAUUGUAUAUCCUCCCCGUGAACACAGAGACAUUGAUCUCCAUAUACAGCAUUCUCCCCUUGUUUUUGGCGUACUUUCACACUGAGACAGGACUCUAUCUACAGAUCUUAUUGACUACAUGUAUUUCUCUGACACAAUGAUCGUCUGUAAUACCCCUUGAAGAAGGAUCACAGAUACCGAAACGGCUGUCGGGUUGGACCAAUUUUUGUCUCAUGUCUGUUGUAUUGCUUUACA